rnacentral:rRNA from 1 species
GACAGAGGGUGCAAACGUUGUUCGGAAUUACUGGGCGUAAAGCGCGUGUAGGCGGCAUGGCAAGUCGGGUGUGAAAGCCCUGGGCUUAACUUGGGAACUGCGCUCGAAACUACUUGGCUAGAGUGUGGCAGAGGGAGGUGGAAUUCCACGUGUAGCGGUGAAAUGCGUAGAGAUGUGGAGGAACACCGAUGGCGAAGGCGGCAUCCUGGACCAAUAUUGACGCUGAGGAGCGAAAGCCAGGGGAGCAAACGGG